rnacentral:tRNA from 1 species
UGGGUUGUGGCUCAGUGGUAGAGUGCUUGCCUUGCAUGUGUGAGGCCCUGAGUUCGAUCCUCAGCACCACAU